GAGUUUGAUCAUGGCUCAGAUUGAACGCUGGCGGCAGGCUUAACACAUGCAAGUCGAGCGGUAACAGGAGAAGCUUGCUUCUCGCUGACGAGCGGCGGACGGGUGAGUAAUACUUAGGAAUCUGCCCAGUAGUGGGGGAUAGCUCGGGGAAACUCGAAUUAAUACCGCAUACACCCUACGGGGAAAAGGGGGCGCUUGCGCUCUCGCUAUUGGAUGAGCCUAAGUCGGAUUAGCUAGUUGGUGGGGUAAAGGCCUACCAAGGCGACGAUCUGUAGCUGGUCUGAGAGGAUGAUCAGCCACACCGGGACUGAGACACGGCCCGGACUCCUACGGGAGGCAGCAGUGGGGAAUAUUGGACAAUGGGGGCAACCCUGAUCCAGCCAUGCCGCGUGUGUGAAGAAGGCCUUUUGGUUGUAAAGCACUUUAAGCAGUGAAGAAGACCUAACGGUUAAUACCCGUUAGCGAUGACAUUAGCUGCAGAAUAAGCACCGGCUAACUCUGUGCCAGCAGCCGCGGUAC
rnacentral:rRNA from 1 species